rnacentral:misc_RNA from 1 species
UGCACCAUCAGGGCCCUCGCCCUCACCCUCCCCUCUCACCAUCACCGUCACCGUCGCCGUCACCACGGGUUGCAUAUCAGUCUUGCUGUGUUUUACGUUGCUCGUUUUUAUUUUAUUUGCACAGGCAUCCGUCGCGCUGUGCUACGUAUACUGACACCCACACACAGCUCUCUUCCUUCGUACUCCACAGAGGCAGACACACGCACACGUACGCCUGUGCACGUGUGCCCGUGGGUGUGCCGUAGUUAUGCCUUCCACUUCUUCCCUCUCCUUCCGCCUCUCCUAACCCAUUACACGCUUCCGUCCGUCCCCCAUCCCAACGGUUGCUCGCAUGUCCUCUGCCGAGUUUGUGCGCAACGUGGAUGCGCGCACAACCAUCUAUCGCUGGGAAGCUGCGGGGCUGGACGAGUUGAACCGCCAGAACAAGCUUUCCUCCCUCCCCUUCUGGAUCCCGAAUUCUGCGACGCGACACCAUCAGUUCAGGGUCGUGCUGCUGCGCGGGUUGGUGCAGACUGCGACCCCCGCCAGUGACCCUUUUGGGGUACUCGUCGAGCUUAUCGCGCCUCCACCACCCCCGGUGGGGACGGCGAACGUGUCGGCAGCAUCGGCCGCAGUGCCGUCUUCCUCGUCCUCCGGCGACUUCCCAGGCGGCUGCUCCGUGACGUGCGAGGUGCUCCCCAUUGACUCGGUUACUCCAACGGCGGCAGAGGAAAAACAGCGUGGACGCGACGACGGGAUCGAUGCGGCGCAGAGAAAGGCGAUCACGUCCACCAAGGUGACAGUACUGGACGCGAACAACGCGCAGGUGAGCUUCCCGGACUUCAUUUCGGCAGACGUGCUACACGACACGCGCUACGUCAGGGGAUCACCGAAGUCCUUCACGCUGCAAAUCACUAUCGAGACGGGCAUCAGCGUUCCACUGCACCAGGCCGCCACGACCGCCCUCGCGUUCUUCUCCUCCCUGACGACGUCGAUGGGCCACUUGCUUGGCAAUACCGCGCAGCUCGGCCACGGCGGGCGCGAGAGCAUCCGCAGCGCUCUUCUCGCGCCCGCCGUGCUUUGGAACGGCACCGCGUCCUCGCCGCCUGCGACGGCGCCAACGAAGGCGGCUGCUUGGACGGCGGCUGCCCUGCCGCCGUGGGAGCAGCCGCCAGAGGAGUGGCGUGACCGCGCCGCUGAGUGGCACUCUCUUGUGAGAGAGCGGUUGCCCCGGCUGGGCGGUACGUAUCGACAUGGGGUGGAGAAGACUCUCUCGCCGGACGAGGUGGGGCUGCUGGCGGAGGUCGGCCUUGUGGAGGCGGACUUGUGGGCGCUUCACAGCCUGUUCGACUUUGACCGCGAUGUCCAGGAGGGCCUUCUCGCCUCUGCCGAGGUGCGGGCGCAUCGCUAUCGCCUGGUUCCGGCCCGCCUCAAGGAGGAGACCUUCUGGGCCAACUACUUCUGGAAGGUGCACUGCGUCGGCCAGUGCGUGACGGAGCGGCAGGUGGCAACGGUGCUUGUGGCACUGUGCAUGCCUUCACGGUCUGUUCACGCAAACCUCUCCACCCCUGUAGAGGUGCCGCGGCACAUCCUCGAUGGCGAGGAGGCCGCCGCUGUCGUGGAGGACUUCGUCAAGCGCGGCGAGGCGGCCGAGCCGUGGUGCACCGUGGCAGCAGAGACGGCGCGCCACUGCAGAAACGUGCUAGAUACUGCGUCGCAACGUGCCGACGUCGCACCCAACACACGCAAGCAGGUCGAGUCGACCCUCUCCAGCUUGGAGAAGGUGCUGCUGUGGUACGGCAAUGCGCUAGAAGGGCCCACAGGUCCACCCGCUCUGUCCGUCGGCGCCGAUGCGGGUGCCGCCGCCGCCGCUGCUGCUGCUUCAUCGGCACCACUACAGAUGGAGGAGACGCAGACCCCGCCGAGGGAGCAGCAGCAGCGAGAACCGUCUCCCACAGCUUCCCCGGCCGCCACCGUUCCCUCUGCUGUGGAGACGGCCACACAGUUGCCCCGCGACGGCACCAGCGGCGGCUUGCGGAGCGUCAGCCAAGUCGCAUUUGUGAAGAUGCCCUGGGAAGAGGAGGACGAUGUGUAGGAGCGGACGAUGUGAGUAGGCCGAUGUAACAAGAGCAUCAAGCGAGCCGGGGAGAAGGAGCGAUGUAGGGCGGUGAGGUGAGGUGUUAGCGACUGCAUCACUGCGUGCUGUUGCCGCAUUCAAGCAGUGAUUUUUCGAUCUGCGCAUGUGCACGUUGCACUGUCGACGCGAUGAUUUUUUUUUCUCUCAACGCCCCACACGCAGCGCCUCCCCUCCCCCCCCCCCCCCCCCCCGCACUUCUCCUGGCACCACCGCCAUCAACUCGACCUCGGCACGUCACCUGCCGUCUUCGCACGCUCCUACUCGCCUUGGGGAGGGGGGGGGAGUAUAUCGCCUUUUUGGAACACCCGCGGAUAGGCUCACGUGUAUAAGGGGACGUGUACACGCACGUCGCAGUGCACGACCGCACCUGUCCGUGUGUGCGUGCGCCACCCCCAUGCACCGCGUGCGUCUACCUCCUCGCCUCUUCUACGUCAUGUCGGCUUCUCUCUUUGUCGUGUGUGUUGUCGCGUUGGGCGUGCGUGCUGCUGUGCUUAUUACUUCAGUCCUCGGCUCUUCUCUCCCUUUCGCUGUAUCACGCAGGUGAAAGCUCCCCCCUCCCUCCCCCAACCCAUACGACGGCGCGCACCGAGAGGACCUCUCGCGCCAUCUCCCUUUCUCCUGGUGCUCGUGUGCACGCGUUUCUCGCACGUGACGGAGGGGUCUCUGCUAUGCGCCCCUCUCAUCCUGCGCGGACAUCUUCUCCCCUUCCCUCCGCCGACUCGCUUGCGCUCGCGCCUGCUCACUGUCGAACGCGCCGCAUCGUGCACGGCGCUCUCUCUGAAUUCGCGUCUCUGUAUUCACCCUCUUCUGUCCUCUCUCCAG